GUUGAAUCCUCGUUGAGACAAAGAAAGUGGCCACAGUUGAAAAUAUUUUACCGAGAACUUUAAAAGUAUUCUCAAGGUUAAAAAUUGCUGUUAUACAUAAUACCUCAGUAAUUGAUAGACAUUUUCUCUCUCCAGAGUCCAUUUUCUGUGAAAAACACCACAUAACAUCUGUUCAUAAACAGUCCUUCUGUGAAAACACUGACACAGGUCUUGAGCUUCCACAGGCUCAAUUCCCCUGCCAUGUGCAGAUGGCAUGAUGUAUUUAUACAGCUGAAGCCUGUGUAACAUAAGCCCGGCCAUAUCUCCAGGUGUUCAGAAUGGGAAUGGCAAUAGAGACGUCCUGGUGGAAUUUGUAGCCUAGGAAGAGAGACAGUCAGUGAACAAGCAAGGAAAUGUGCAGUGAACAUGCAAAUAAUAUCGUAACUGUGAGGGUGCACCUGAGGAACCAUGAACCAUGGAAAGCAGGGGCAAGCAGCCCUGCCAUUUGCAGAGUGAGAGAGAAGCCUUUUAUUUGUCAGCGACAUUUGUGAUGAGACCUGAAAGUGCAGGAGGAAACUAAUGGGUUCCGCCCAAUGUGGGAGGAUGCUCUAGGGAGUAUGCUGGGAGUGUCUCCACGAGACCAACUUGCCAUUCCAUCCCAAGAGUGCCUCACACACAGGAAACACUUAAAUAUUUACUGAAUUGGCUUGAUUUGAAAGAUACACCAUCUAAGUCUUAAAAACUGUAGGACCUAGGCUGACUGAGUUAAAUCUUAUCAGUCUAUAGUUCAUCUUAUUCCUGCCUCUGAAAACUGCCUGCCUGUCAUGAGGUCUAUCUUAGAACCAGAUAAACCAACACACUGGUCUUAAAUUUUGAAGGCUUUCCUCUAGAGAUUGUAGAGACUUGGGAUAGUUUAAAAUGCAUUCUCCAUUUAAAUGGAAUGAAAGCUUAUCUCUUUAUUGUGCCUUGAUGUCAAGUCGGCAAUAAAUAUGGAUAUCAGACUAUGCAAAAUUAUUCCUGAAUUCCUGUCAUUAUACCCAAUCAAAAUUCUAAACACUUUAACUCGAUGUUCAAUGAUCAGUUAGGAUUGUUCACAUACGUGGCUAGCUGUUUAUAAUUCUUCAUGUUUUUCGUCAAUGAAAAUAUUUGGCUUAAUCUCAAAAUCAUCAAAAAGACUAGACGUAGGUUAGUCCAAACCACUCAUUCUUUUUGUAGCAAGUACUUUCCACCAAGAGGAUGCCCACCCAGCUGGAAGGAAGCUGAAAGAGUGAAAGAAUUUUUGCCUUGAUUGAUGCCAGGAAUGACUCUGAGUUAUUUUUUCCCCACUGGAUUGAUCAAAUCAAGCCUUUCUGCCCUUAAAAAUAUAAACAGUACUAUGUCCCUCAGCAUGAUGAGGGCAAUGACAGAUCUACUAUGGAUGAGGAACAUCAGACACUCUCAAAUAACAUCAAAUUUAAGAACCAAGAAAAAAAUAUACUCUGUGAUCAUGAGUGAUAGCGUCGAUUCUGGAGAAGAAAGCCUGGAUAAGGAAGGUCUCUGAUGAACUACGGGACGCAGAAGAGAAUGCCAUGCUCCAGAAAGCCUGAAUCGCACAGAACGAGACGAGAAAACUUCCCUUCCACUUUCAUCCAACCAUAAAACUUAAACUGUUUUACUUUUAAAUUCUCAGUUUCCUGGUUUUAUCUUUUUUUCUUCCUCCCUUUGUAUUAUUUAAAAA
rnacentral:lncRNA from 1 species